AGGCUCAUCUCCAUCAAGUCAGUGCAAAAGGAAAGAGGAAAGCUCAUGAACAAGAGGUUUCUCUGGACCAGGAACGAUCCAUUGGCUAGAACUCAGGCUGUGUCCUUAGGAUGAAGAGAAGGCAGGUUUGAUGCUGAGCCAGGCAGUCUUUGCCACACUAGCCCGCGGUUAGUGCUCAUGUCUACUAGCAAUGUUUAUGGGGACCCAACCAUGUCCACGUCUUUACUGGGCUGCUUUCCUGCCACGAAGACAGAGAAGUAGUUGGGACAGACACAGCACGCCCUGACUGCUAAUACUUUGUUUACUGAAACCUCAAACAACCUACUUGCUCCUCAGUCACUGCAAGCAGGAAUGUCUACUGGAGAAGGAGAAAUAAAAGACUCAUCAGGGUCUGCAUCUGAUUCUGUGUAAAUCUGAGAUACAUUUCAAUCAUAGAUAGAUGAACCAACAAAGCAUUGAUCUUCAUCCUACUUUUGAAGAUGCCUGUGUAUAAAUGACUCUGACACAGAGGCCAGUCAUGUCUCCACUUCCCUCUCCACUUGGAUAGCCAAAAUGAAGCAUCUUUUGAAGAAUUUCUGUGGGAAGAGGCCUCACAAGAAAUCACGGGUUAGAAAUAGUCUAGUUUCUCAUUUCUGUGUUAUGGUUUAAAUCUGAGGAGAGUUGAAUUUGCCUUUCAGCCCUAAGAUAAAAAUACAAGAAAUGUGACCCAAACUGUGGGGAACGUAAAUUCCUUCAGUGUUCUCUUGUCCAGGAAAACUUGGGACUCUGAAAUUAAGGAAGAAAGAAGCUAUAAAAUGGAGGAAUUAUCUCCAAACUCUUCUGGAGUAUACUUGGAUGCACUUUUGAAUAUACUUGUAAUUUUUGUUUUUGCAUCUUUAUUUGCCAAU
ensembl:lncRNA